rnacentral:rRNA from 1 species
CCUACGGGUGGCUGCAGUGGGGAAUAUUGCACAAUGGGCGGAAGCCUGAUGCAGCGACGCCGCGUGAGGGAUGACGGCCUUCGGGUUGUAAACCUCUUUCAGCCCUGACGAAGCGUAAGUGACGGUAGGGGCAGAAGAAGCGCCGGCCAACUACGUGCCAGCAGCCGCGGUAAGACGUAGGGCGCGAGCGUUGUCCGGAUUUAUUGGGCGUAAAGAGCUCGUAGGCGGCUUGUCGCGUCGGCUGUGAAAACCCGUGGCUUAACUGCGGGCUUGCA